rnacentral:tRNA from 1 species
AGAAAGAUGACUGAGUUGGUUUAAAGUAAAGAAAUGCUAGUUCUUAAUUCAUUAUUAAAUGAAUCAAGGGUUCGAAUCCCUUUCUUUCUA